rnacentral:rRNA from 1 species
CCUACGGGAGGCAGCAGUGAGGAAUAUUGGUCAAUGGGCGGGAGCCUGAACCAGCCAAGUCGCGUGAGGGAAGACGGUCCUAUGGAUUGUAAACCUCUUUAGGCGGGGAGCAAAGCCGGGCACGCGUGCCCGGAGAGAGAGUACCCGCAGAAUAAGCAUCGGCAAACUCCGUGCCAGCAGGCGCGGAAAUACGGAGGAUGCGAGCGUUAUCCGGAGUUAUUGGGUUUAAAGGGUGCGUAGGCGGAUUUUUAAGUCAGCGUUAAAAUGUCCGGGCUCAACCCGGGCCGGCCGUUGAAACUGGGGGUCUUGAGUGGGCGAGAAGUAUGCGGAAUGCGUGGUGUAGCGGUGAAAUGCAUAGAUAUCGCGCAGAACUCCGAUUGCGAAGGCAGCAUACCGGCGCCCGACUGACGCUGAGGCACGAAAGCGUGGGGAGCGAACAGGAUUAGAUACCCGGGUAGUC